UACGUAGGGUGCAAGCGUUGUCCGGAAUUAUUGGGCGUAAAGGGCUCGUAGGCGGUUUGUCGCGUCGGGAGUGAAAACCAGAGGCUUAACUUCUGGCUUGCUUUCGAUACGGGCAGACUUGAGGCAUGCAGGGGAGAACGGAAUUCCUGGUGUAGCGGUGAAAUGCGCAGAUAUCAGGAGGAACACCGGUGGCGAAGGCGGUUCUCUGGGCAUGUUCUGACGCUGAGGAGCGAAAGUGUGGGGAGCGAACAGG
rnacentral:rRNA from 1 species